GUAAUUUAAUUUACCCAUAUUUGGUUGAAAAAAUAAACAUCAACAAAUCCAGAUUGAUGGCCGCGCCGCGCAGUAAUCAAAAAUUAAAAGUUCUAUUUGUCCAAUCUUUCCUGCAGUCACGGUUGCAAACAAUGUCGUGGUUCGUGAAAUAAGACGAUAAUCAAAGUUCUGACCAGAAGCAGCAAAACAGCCAUUCGCUACUGGCCUCGUCCAUGGCAAAGCAGCUAGCGAAAACGUUCCCGAAGCUCCCGAACGUCCCUCGUUUUGUCUCAUUCCGGAUCAUCCCGUCAUCAAUUUGUCCAAGGAAAACAUAUUGUGUCAUUAUGUACAUUAUGGGCUCGAUUAUGGGUAAAUUGCGUACGAUCCGAUCCGAAGUUUAUCGCCUGAUUACGCUCACUUACUGGUCGCUAAUCCAACAAACCAAUGAUAUACACCAUCGUUUCUUAUCACCUUGGCCAUCGUGAUCGCUUCCUGCCAUCAUAGUGCAAGUGCAAACGAAAAAUCUCGGACGCCGGAGAAAAUGACAGGUUUCAUUCGGACUGUUACUUGCUGGUAUCGGAGUCGAAAUUCGUCAGGCAGGCUUCCGGAUCAUGAAGAACUGGUCAACUCUUGGGUCAACUUCAAAUUUCGCCAGGGAAAACUAGAUGACAUGAAUUAACGAAACGGGCGAAACGUUGAAACAACACGUAAAAAGCACCUGGGGCGGAUCCAAUUUCACCAACGGAAGCACCUGGUACCAUAGGACUUUCGCAUUCUCAUCCGGAUUCCAAAACUACCUUAGCCGUUGCCUAAAAUGGCAUUCAAUCCUGAAGGAUGGGGGACACCUUAUCCCGAAGGAAGGGAAGGUCAUGUAAUUCUGUGCUGUACUGUGCAGAGUACGUCCAUGAAUCUCCAGUAGCAGCGGACCAUCCAGCUAAUCCCUGUAGGCAUGUUUAGGCCCUCGGUCGCAUAUGAUCCAGAGCAACAAAGGCGGUACAAUUAUGCUCGCAAUUAUGGUACUCAACCAGGAGCGGCUUCUACUGUUCACGUUUCCGAGGGGAACCCGAUUAUUUUUAAUUAGCCGCCAAUGAAUUUUCAGAUUACUUAUUAAUACUAUUUUAACAAAAUCGGAUGAUUUGUUUUUUUUUUAAUAGAAAUAUAGAAUCUGUAUA